rnacentral:misc_RNA from 1 species
GAUGAAGAACGCAGCGAAAUGCGAUACGUAAUGUGAAUUGCAGAAUUCAGUGAAUCAUCGAAUCUUUGAACGCAUAUUGCGCUCUCUGGUAUUCCGGAGAGCAUGCUUGUUUGAGUAUCAGUAAACACCUCAACUUCCAUAUCUUUUUUGAAAUGGGAGUUGGACUUGAGUGAUCCCAACGCUUUUCCUCACCGAAAAGUGGCGGGUUACUUGAAAUGCAGGUGCAGCUGGACUUUUCUCUGAGCUAUAAGCAUAUCUAUUUAGUCUGCCUAAAAAACAGAUUAUUACCUUUGCUGCAGCUAACAUAAAGGAGAUUAGUUCUUGUGCUGACUGAUGCAGGAUUCACAAAGACGGCUUCGGCCGACUUUGUAAACUCGAUCUCAAAUCAAGUAAGACUACCCGCUGAAAUUAAGCAUAUCAAUAAGCGGAGGA